rnacentral:misc_RNA from 1 species
AACGCACAUUGCGCCCGCCAGUAUUCUGGCGGGCAUGCCUGUUCGAGCGUCAUUUCAACCAUCAAGCCCACGGCUUGUGUUGGGGACCUGCGGCUGCCCGCAGGCCCUGAAAACCAGUGGCGGGCUCGCUGUCACCCCGAGCGUAGUAGCAAUCACCUCGCUCAGGGCGUGCUGCGGGUGCCGGCCGUUAAACCUGCCUUCGUGCACCCCAAGGUUGACCUCGGAUCAGGUAGGAAGACCCGCUGAACUUAA